UGGGGAAUAUUGGGCAAUGGAGGAAACUCUGACCCAGCGACGCCGCGUGAGGGAUGAAGGCCUUCGGGUUGUAAACCUCUUUCAGUAGGGAAGAAGCGAAAGUGACGGUACCUACAGAAGAAGCACCGGCUAACUAUGUGCCAGCAGCCGCGGUAAUACAUAGGGUGCAAGCGUUGUCCGGAAUUAUUGGGCGUAAAGAGCUCGUAGGUGGUUCGAUACGUCGGAUGUGAAAAUCAGGGGCUCAACCCCUGACCUGCAUCCGAUACGGUCGAGCUAGAGUUUGGUAGGGGAGACUGGAAUUCCUGGUGUAGCGGUGGAAUGCGCAGAUAUCAGGAGGAACACCGAUGGCGAAGGCAGGUCUCUGGGCCAAUACUGACACUGAGGAGCGAAAGCGUGGGGAGCGAACAGG
rnacentral:rRNA from 2 species